rnacentral:rRNA from 1 species
UGCGUUAGUACGGCGAGUGAGCGGCAAAAGCUCAAAUUUGAAAUCUGGUACCUUCGGUGCCCGAGUUGUAAUUUGGAGAGGGCAACUUUGGGGCCGUUCCUUGUCUAUGUUCCUUGGAACAGGACGUCAUAGAGGGUGAGAAUCCCGUGUGGCGAGGAGUGCGGUUCUUUGUAAAGUGCCUUCGAAGAGUCGAGUUGUUUGGGAAUGCAGCUCUAAGUGGGUGGUAAAUUCCAUCUAAAGCUAAAUAUUGGCGAGAGACCGAUAGCGAACAAGUACAGUGAUGGAAAGAUGAAAAGAACUUUGAAAAGAGAGUGAAAAAGUACGUGAAAUUGUUGAAAGGGAAGGGCAUUUGAUCAGACAUGGUGUUUUGUGCCCUCUGCUCCUUGUGGGUAGGGGAAUCUCGCAUUUCACUGGGCCAGCAUCAGUUUUGGUGGCAGGAUAAAUCCAUAGGAAUGUAGCUUGCCUCGGUAAGUAUUAUAGCCUGUGGGAAUACUGCCAGCUGGGACUGAGGACUGCGACGUAAGUCAAGGAUGCUGGCAUAAUGGUUAUAUGCCGCCCGUCUUGAACACCGGACCAAAA